rnacentral:rRNA from 1 species
GGCUCAGAGUGAACGCUGGCGGCGUGCUUAACACAUGCAAGUCGCACGAGAACGCUUCUGCUUGCAGGGGCUAGUAAAGUGGCGCACGGGUGAGUAACACGUGGGUAAUCUACCUUCGGAUUGGGGAUAACAUUGCGAAAGCGAUGCUAAUACCGGAUAAUAUCGUUGGUUUUUCGAAUCCAUCGAUCAAAGAUGGCCUCUUCAUGAAAGCUAUUGUCUGAAGAUGAGCCCGCGUCCCAUUAGCUUGUUGGUAGGGUAACGGCCUACCAAGGCAACGAUGGGUAGCUGGUCUGAGAGGAUGAUCAGCCACACUGGAACUGACACACGGUCCAGACUCCUACGGGAGGCAGCAGUGAGGAAUUUUGCGCAAUGGGCGAAAGCCUGACGCAGCAACGCCGCGUGAGUGAUGAAGGCUUUCGGGUCGUAAAGCUCUGUCAAGUGGGAAGAACCUGUAAAGUGCCAAUACCACUUUGCACUGACGGUACCACUGAAGGAAGCACCGGCUAACUCCGUGCCAGCAGCCGCGGUAAUACGGGGGGUGCAAGCGUUACUCGGAAUCAUUGGGCGUAAAGGGCGCGCAGGCGGCCCAAUAAGUCAGAUGUGAAAGCCCGGGGCUCAACCCCGGAAGUGCAUUUGAAACUGUUGGGCUUGAGUAUGGGAGAGGAAAGUGGAAUUCCUGGUGUAGAGGUGAAAUUCGUAGAUAUCAGGAGGAACACCUGUGGCGAAGGCGACUUUCUGGACCAAUACUGACGCUGAGGCGCGAAGGCG